rnacentral:lncRNA from 1 species
UUGAGCACGCAACAUCCUUCAACAUCACCAAAGUGUUGGGUAGAUGAGAAACGCCAUAUACUACUAACCUAAGCUCAAGAGCCAAGGUGAGCUCUAGAACCAAUGACAUGCAAACGAUUGUAAGUCUCACUCAGAAAGAUGUAAUUUGUCCGUUAAUAAAGAAAAGCAAAUGCACCUUAUCUGAACUGAAAACUUAGAACCUGCAAGAGGAAAAAAAAAUCCCACCUCCAAGGAUGCAAUCAAAACCCAUAUGCCAUACAUCAUAGACUGGCAUGUAAUCUCUGAUCCAAAAAUCAACUUUUUAUACACCUAACCACCUUGGAUGACUGAAAAAAUUGAAGCAUAAUGAAGAAAAAUUGAUGAAGAGGUCCAAGG